CAUUUCCGGAUCUGGCAGGGAGAGAGGGGGGCGGUUGCUAGGAGCGGCGCUGCGGACCAGGGGAGCCCGCACGUGGGUUUGCAGGCACCUGGGCAGAGCCUGGGAGGAAGCGUGAGGAAGCCGGGGGAAGGGCACACCGCUGGGCUGGGACCGUCCGGGGGAUGAGUCAGCGCCCACGUGGCUUGUGGCUCUGGGCCGGCCUCGCCCUGGCGUCUCCGCUAGGGCCUGGGAGCUAAGCUUUCUCCCGCCAAGUUCACCCUGGGGUUGCUUUGGAGGGGACCCUGGAGACCCAGGGCUGGGGCCACUGAAUGCAGGACCUCUGCACAGCCUCCUACGCACAGGCCAAGGCCUCCCUGAGUCUGGAAGGACCUCAGAGGGCUUCCUGCCCUGGGUGGGGAGUCCAGUGUGAAACCACCUGGGAGGGACUGAACGGAGGAGCUUAGUCCCCCUCCGACCCCACUUCUCCAAAAGGUUCUAGAAAACUGCCUUCCCAACCCCAAGGGACCUGACAACUACCUUUUGAAGAUGUGAGUCCAAUUUUGUACUUUGGACCCCUUGAGCAAGCUGAUGAAGCCUAUGGAUCUUUUCUCAGAAGUCUGGCUGGGUCCGUCCUUGCCCGGGGAACACCCUGUGUCUCAGCCGCCCUGGCAGCCGGAGGCAGCUACGUGACUGAGUUCUGCCAGUGGCAGGUGACAGAAGUGAAGUAUGCAAGUUCCACACCACUGACCCGGAAGGAAUUUGUUUGCCUGCACCUGUACCCUUUCCCCCUGCCAGAAUGUCGAUUCAGCUUCAACCAGCACAGGGAGCAACACGUGAGCCACGGCUUCUUGGCUCUGCCUGUCUUGGGCCCCCUCUGGCUGUCUAGUGAAGCCUGCGGACCCUUUGCUGAACAGUGUUCUUAAAUUCAUGCAAUAAAAUCAGAAGAUUGCCAAGAAAAACAACUGCAAUGAAAUAUAAAAAAAUCGUAUAAAAAGUUACACUCUAAGAGUAGGUACGUACUUCUUAUUAACACAUUAACGAACAACCUAACAAUGGAUCUGAUAGCUAUUCAAAGUAAUAGUCAUGAGCAUAAACAGUAUUUCACAACAGAAAUCACAGAUAUUUUCCUGUCACAUUUAGUUGUUGCAGAUACUAUACCUGCCAAUACUCCUGUGAGGCUUCCUGUCAGAAUGGGAAGAAGUGCUACCUUUGAAGUAUUCAGUGGAUUUUGGUAUAAAUCAGGAUGUAAUUUUUGCCCACGCAGGCUCAGAGAGCCCCUGAGUUCUGACCAGCUGUUUGCAGAUCCCAGGUUUAGAACAUCAGUCUUUGGAGAUGGUGGAACCCCAACAUGGAAGAAAACUGCAUUCCCGAAUAAACUACAUAAGGCAAAGCCAGCCUGUCGGCAGGGAGCCCCCAGACUGUCCCAGGAGGAAGUAUUACAGUCCUGCCUCCUGUAUUCAGUUGUCUUCGGGGGUGGGGGGUGGGGGUCUUUUUGUUACAGCAACUUAUCCUGUACCCUAACAGAGAGGCAGACAGUGACUAAACAGUUUUUAAUACGCACUUACAUGAGUCAGCUCAUUGCCUUGCCCCACAGCAACCUGAAACUCAGCUGAGGGCCUGAGACGCCACAGCCUGGGAACUCAGAAGGGAGCCCUUUUCAUUUUGCCGCGCACCUCCCCGCGGCCCAGACGUGGGCCUCCGCACGUCCCACUGCCCCGUCUGGGCCUCCGCAGAGUCCACCUGUUUCCUGCUCUCGGCCUGGACAGGCUGCGCCCCGGCUCACCCGCCCCGGUGGCUGGCGAACAAAGGAGCAGCUGCUCUUCCCCUCCCCCCAGCCCUCCCUCCCGGCGCGGACACACCCCGACGGACCGUGGGGCAGAUCCCUGACUACGGUUCACAGGAAUGUCAGCAGAGAAGCCAGGUUGGUUGGGGCCUUGAUCGCUGGCAGGAUCUCAGGACUCGGAGAGGGUCUGAGCUGAGCGGGAGCUGCAGCCGGCUGCGCACGAAUGCCCUUAAAAAGAGAAAGGAGACGCAAGCCAAGAAGAGAAACUAGUGCCCGCGCCAGGAGCAUGCAACUCUCAAGAGGUUUCACUGGAGCAUAAAUUAGGCUUGUUGACUGAAUGGUGGAAACAAGUGUGUGUGAGGCCAGGCGGGGUUCAGCAUCACACUUCCCAGGAUAUCAUUAACAGCUGCAGAAGACACAUGGAAUUUCUGACCUCACCAGGUUUAUAACCUUGCUAUGGUAGAGUCUCCUAGUCACUGAUACCUAUUCUUCCCUUCUUUUAAAAUAAUAGAAUUUUAGGUGGGAACAUGAAUGUUCACUAAAGACUACAUUUCCCAGCUUCCCUUGCAGCUAUGUAUAGUCAUGUGACUGAGUUUUGGCCAAUGGGAUAUAAGCAAAAAUUAUUUUGUCCUCUUGAUUGGGUGAGCACUUCCUUGUCUCACUUUCCUCCUUACCAUCAGCUGCUUUGGAGCCAGAAGUGGAAUCUGUGCAAGGAGAAUGGUAGAGUCUGCCUAAGGGUUCUAGAUUGCUGACCUGCAGGCAAAUACAUUUCUAUUUUGUCUAGGCUGUUGUAUCUGGAGGUUGUUUUCUUACAGCAACCCAGCCUGGAUCCUACCAUUGAAAUGAGCAGUGGCAACAGCUCCCAGUGGGUUGACUUGAAAAUACAGUAGGUAUGUAUGAUCUUCUAACAUCCUUUAAGGACUAAUACACCAGAAAUGGUCACCUGUAAUCCUCAUACUAGCCCUUUGAGAUGGGCUUCUCCCAAGUUCUACCCUUUCUCUGAUCAGGGAACAAAUCAAAAGCACCUGGAAUCAAGGUGGCUGUGAAAGCAGAACAUCCACAGAAAAGCAGAACUGGAAUGCAGAGCUAAAGCCAUUCAACUCACUCAUUCAGCAGCUAGCUGUUUACCAGGCUCUGAGCUCGGCACUAGAGGCACAGCAGUGAGCAAGAUGACUAGCUCCAGACCUCCUGAAGCAUGCUGCCUCCAUGGAGGACAUCCAGGCUAACCAGAAAAGCAUUCGGGAGAUAGGGAAUUACAGUGGGCAUGAAGGUGAGGAAGGAAAAGAUUGCAGAACCAAGGUCACUAAGAAGCUUCAGGCAGGGCACAAGGAGCCAGGUAUGGAAGACACAGUAACUAGGAUGGGGGCGGGACUUCUGGGAGCUUGGAGAAAUGGACAAGGAACUGAUCUCCUCCACAUGGGCACUUAGGUGGCCCACCGACACAAAAAGGCCAUCCGCAUAUUUAUUAUGCCAUUCUAUGAGUGUGACAUCUCAGUGCAGAACAGUCCUAAAAAAACCUGUCUCCUGAAAAUCUGAAAAUCCUUCUUACCUCCUUGGUUUUAGUCAAAAUGAUUAUUUUCAAAAUGUGUCUUAAAAAGAAAGCACUCCUAUUUCAACUACUAACAGUGAUAAAAAAAAAUUCCUCCAUCUUCUUACUAAAAAGGUAGCUUUCUGUGGUUGAAGACCUCAGAGCCCACUUGACGACUCUUAAAAGAGAUAGAACUAUGAGCUGGACACCUAUCUCUUUGUGCCUGUCCGAGGCUGAGAAGUUUCUGAAAGCAUGUCUGGUUUAUCAUUUAGGGAUAGAUUUGCCUGGGAGUCUCCCACAGAUAAACCUAAGUCCCGAGGCCUGGCACAUUGUCAUUUCCCGAGGUUACUGUAUUUGUUUUUGCAGUCCUCCAGCUUGAACAAGGGAGUCAACAAGCUGGAGUUAUAUUUUAUGGAAGGAUUAGCAGUUUAAAGCGGCUUCCCUGGUGGCUCAGUGGUAAAGAAUCCACCUGCCAAGCAGAAGACAUGGUUUCCAACCUUGGGUUUGGAAGACUCCCUGGAGAAGGAAAUGGCAAUCCACUCCAGUAUUCUUGCCUGGAGAAUCCCAUGGACAGAGGAGCCUAGUGGGGUACAGUCCAUAGGGUCGAAAAAGAGUCAGACACAACUUAGCAACCAGACAACAACAAGCAGUUUAAUGAGUAAAGGAGCAAAGAUCUGUGUGUCCAGUCCGCAGUUCAGGAAUGAGCUGCAGGCGGUGGGGGACUUUUUACGUGUCAUGAUUCUCAGCCCAGCCCUUGGGUUUGAACCUCUAUGUAAGUAUCAGCUUCCUCCCAGAGUAGACUUAUCCUGGGGCCUGGGAGUCUGCAGGUGAGGCUCCCUUUCCUGGUGAUUGAGCACUGCUACUUUUUCUCCUCCACAGAAAUCUGGGCCUCUGGUGGGUGGGGCAGGAGCAGGGGGCAGGGGUGUGUGCUGAGCAAGCAGGCCUUUGCUGGCCCGUGUGGGUGGUAUCAGUGGGGCCGGGAGGGAGCAAAGUCAGGCAGUUGGGAGGGGACAGUGGCUGUGGGGGUGACAUAGAGUGAGGCCCACUUGGGAGCACCCCAAGCAACAGUCUGUAAUCCAGACAGUCACUGGGAAGCAGGCCCCAGCCUUCAGCCCCAAGGGCGAGCUCCCUUGUGAUCAGGGAAAAUAGGCUGGUGGGCCCUCAGAUGGGAGCCAGCACCAGGCCUGUGUGAUGGCCUUACUCCAGGAACAGAGGCGGAGGCCUCGAGGGGAGCUGAGUCAGAGCUCCAAAUCCCCACGCCUCUGGCCUUCACCCUGACCAGCCCCUCCGUCCUCCCUUCUCAGGCUGACACCACCACCCCCACCCCCGCCAGCAGCCAAGCGACUCAGCGGCUCCAAUUCAGGCUGCCCAGCAGCUGCUCUGGCCCCAGGAAAGAAAACCGCGCUGUCUCUCUGAUCAGGCAGCCACAUUGGGCAAGGAUACACACGCACAAGCAGGCAUGCACACUCACGAAACAGUUGAGGGUAAUAAAUUCUAGUGGUGUGCUUUAAAAAUAGAAAGCAGAGAUAUAAUAGCUAGUCAAUGAAGGUUUGCCAAUUGCACUAGCAAGUGUUCACAGGAGAGAGGCGGUGGUCAUGUCCUAUGUAGUUCAAGGAAAGGAAAGAGAGGAUUCAAGGGGAGAAAAGGCAAAGGAGAGGGAGUGGCAGUGAGAUGAGAUGAAAUGAGGACAUGGAAGAAGCCCACUGGGCUUUGCGGGCUCCCGGGGCACCCCACACCAGCCUCUUGUCUUGUCAUAACUGAGCACCUACAGGGUGCAGGCUCUUUAUGUACAUCAUUUAUUUUGACUUUCACAACAAACCUGGAAGGGAGCGGAAGAGUAGCCCCAUUUUGUAGAUUAAAUAGCUAAGGCCCACGGAGAGGCUAAGUGACAUGAACAGGGCCAUUCUGUGGAUCCAGACUGGAACCAGCUCUGCUUGACUCCUGGAUCCCUGCGCUCCCCCAGUCUCCACGCAUCUCCCUCACUGGCUCUGCCUCAUGGCGGGGAUCCCAGUACCUUAUCUGGGUCUGAAACUCUUGACGCUUCCCACGGUGUCUGACAUGCAGCAAGUCCUCAAGAAAUGUGCAAUAAAUGAGAGAAGAGAGGAUGUGGGGGCAGGUAGAGAGGGGAGAGCGAUUGCACUGUUGUUGAGAUGGGGAGGGAAGAAAGAAGAGCAGAGCAGACCGGGUCAGGAGCCUAUUUCUACAGGAUCUGUGCAUCCGCCAUCAGCUGGCUGGCCUGGGGUGGGGGUGGUGCAAAACUGUGGCCUCCGCUGCAGGUUCCCUCUUGCCCUGCUCAACUAUCCGGCUGAGCAGAGCUUUGGAGGGACUGGGUGGAAGGGAGGGAGGCAUGGCUGAGGAGGGGCCAGCCUGGGGCAUCAGACCCAGCAUUAGCAGUGGAUACAUUCUACCCUGCAGCCCACAGACCCUCCCUACUGGUUGCCCUCAGGAAUCACCUGGGGAGCUGCAAAAACAACAGCAGUUGGGGCCCCACCCCGCCCGAGGUCUGCAUUCAUUGGUGUGGGUUGGGUCCCGGGCAGCAGCAGAAUUUAUUAAAAGUCCCACAGGUGGCUCCAGUGUGUAGCCUGCAUUGAGAACCUCUACAAGCCCAACCUACCAUAUACACCUGCCCCCUACUACAGGUGACAAGCGGAGUUUAUACGAGAGUAAGGGCUUCACAGUUGUCACUACUAAGGGGCAGAGGUGUGGUGGGAAUUCAGAUCUGACCUCAGUACUCCAGCCUCCCCAUCCAGCACACAAAAGCCCAUCCACUGGGACGCCCGGACUGGGAUCGCCGGGGAUUCUGUUUUAGAAGGCUAGAGUCCCCCAGCUCACUCUCCCAUCUCAGGGGCACCCUAUUCCUUAGCCAGGGAGGUCAGUGGGAGUUCAUGCUACUAAUGACAAAAGCUGCCAUGUGUAAGCUCUUCCCAUUCACGGAGCUUCUCCCACAUGUUAUUCCUGUUUGGUCCUCACACCUGCACCACGAGCUGAACCCAGCAGGAAUGAUUUAAGUCCACUCGACAGUGAAAGGAACUAAAGUUCUGAGCAGCUAAAUAAUUUGGCCAAGAUCACAGAGCUAAUUACUUGGCCCAGGGGAGACUAGAAUCCAGGUCCUUGGUCUCUAAGAGCAAAACUUCUUUUCCUAGCUUGUUCCUGAGCUGGGGUUUUAACAUUUGGCGGCUCAGAUGGUAAAGAAUCUACCUGCAAUGUGGGAGACCUGGGUUCGAUCCCUGGGUUAGGAAGAUUCCCUAGAGAAGGGAACAGCUACCCACUCUAGUAUUCUUGCCUGGAGAAUUCCAUGGACUGUAUAGUCCUUGGGGUCGCAAAGAGUCGGACACAACCGAGUCACUUUCAUGUUCACUUUUAGUAGAAGAAGGCACAGUUGGCGACAGAGCAGGCAGCCCAGCUUAGCAUGGUCGGGGGCAGGGCUGCCCUUGAGUAACCUAGAGAGUUGUUCAGUCGCUCAGUUGCGUCCGACUCUUUGUGACCCCAUGGACCGCAGCACGUCAGGCUUCCCUGCCCUUCACUAUCUCCCAGCAUUGGCUCACACUAAUGUCCGUUGAGUCGAUGAUGCCAUCCAACCAUCUCAUCCUCUGUCAUCCCCUUCUCCUCACUAGAGGAUGGCACUUGGGAAAAUGCUGGCACCCCUGUGCUUGUGGAAUUGUUGGUUACUUGGAUUGUUACUACGUGGCACGAAAGUGUUCUGGGCCCUGCUGAAUCAAAAACCAGGAAGCACUGCACGGCAAGUUCAAGUUUUAGUGGGAUUUCUUUCUUUCUUUCUUUUUUUAAAUCAGGAUUGAAGACCUGUUCGUAUGUAUCUUUGUUUUGAAGCAAACUCCUGAAAGGUCACCGCGCCACCCAGGGCAGGGUGUGAGUGGCUUGGUCUCAGAGCCUUCCUGCCUGCUGGAGAACGUGCUCUCUGACCUCUGGCAAAUCCUGUGACCUUGGCCGAGGUGAAUCCGUCCUGUUGGAAGAGGGCGUGGUUAGAAAGCAGCUUGAGUGUUGCAGGAUGAGACCUCUGAGUGUGCAGGUGUCAGCAGCACAUGACUCGGAGGAUAAUUGCUGUUUGCCAUUGGCCCCGGGGACUUUUGACUCAACAGUUGUCUUGGCUAUAUGGCAUUGUUAAGAAGCCUGAGAAGGAGGAUAAGUAGAGAGCAAGAACUGGAAAACCAGGAGACAGAUUCCCACGUGUCCUCAGCUAACCCCACCAGAGCAGGAGCCUGAAUUCCAGAAGAGGGUCCAGUGGCACAGUUGGUUUCUCAUACAGCUUCCCAUUCCUCGUCCAAGCUGCUCGGAUCCCAUGAGGGCAUGAACGGGGACAUGAAGGCAGGUAGAGAGUCUAGGCCCCCAGCAACCCGGGUGCCCAGGCUCGCCCACUGCUGGAGAGCAGCCCUAGGAGGCUGCCUCUGUAUGCAGCUCUCUGUUCUAAACGCAUCUCUCUGGGCUAAACUUGUGGAAGUUUUUUUUCUUUUUUUUUUGCUGGCUCAUGGUUUCUCAGUUGAAAAGUGAGUAUAGCCCUGGAGAGGGUUGGAUCCAACCACUGUUCAUUUUAACAAACAUUGAAAUUGAGGGAUUGUGAGCUUGCCCAAGGUACAGGGUACAGAGUGGAAAGACUCCACCUUUGCCCCGAGGGAGACUGGGUUCUCUACCUUGCCCUACCCUCUUUCUGUCUUCUCCAUGUGCUCCCGACACCACCCUUCACCCUCACUGAGGACGCCGCGGUGCUGCCUGCCCUGAUGCCUUCGCAUGUAAUGUUCGACGUUCUUCCCCCCUUCCCACCCCUACCUCCAAAGGCAUUAAGCCUUCGAGAUCAAGCAUCAUGAAUAAGUGAUGUUUGUGUGUGUUAGUCACUCAGUCGUGUCUGAGUCUUUGUGACCCCAUGGACUGUAGCCCACCAGGCUCCUCUGUCCAUGGAAUUCUCCAGGCAAGAAUACUGGAGUGGAUUGCCAUUCUCGUCUCCAGGGGAUCUUCCUGACCCAGGGGUUGAACCCGGGUCUCCUGCAUUGCAGGCAGAUCCUUUACCAUCUGAGCCGCCAGGAGAACCAAAUGAUGCUUACUGAGGACCUACUAAGUACCAGGUGCUAUGCUAAGCGUUUUAUAUCUGUCACUCCUCAGUGCUCAGAGCAGCCUCAUGUGGUCUGUAGUGCUAGCACCCCAUUUUAUGGAUGACAUUAUUGAAGCUGGCAUGGUUAGUUACAGGUAACUCGAAGUGGCAGGGCUGGGUUCAAAACCUGUGCUGCCUGACUCCACACCUAUGGCCUUGCCAAACAGCCUCUAAGAUCACCUAGGAAGUGAAAGGCUCACUGUACCUUAAGAUGCAAUUAAUUAAUGGCCUUGUAACUCAGAGUUCCCUCUGCCCUUUGCUUACCUGGCAGUGUUGGUCCAUACCUCGUUCUGGUGUGACUGCUGUUCAUGCUAAUUGCCCCAUGUAGGAACUAAAGAGUCAGUUUUCUGUUUGACCUUUGAGUUUCCAGAGCCUAGCAGAGUGCCUGGUACUCAUAACAUGCUCAGAAAAUGUUGACUAAUAUUGAACAAAUGUAGAGUAAAUGAGUAAAUAGGCAAAUAACAAUGCAGGAGACAGAUUAUGACAAAUACUAGAAGCGGGAUCUGAACAAAAACACAAGGAGUUUGGAGCAGGAGGUGGUCACAUAUGGGGAGGAAAUCAGGAAAGCUUUUUCUGAGGGCAGGGGUAGUGGGGUUUGGUCUAAACCUCAGGCCUGGCUGGGUCUCAUUGAGAAGGGAGGGAGGGAGUCAGCUGAGGGAACAGGCAAGUCAAGACCCAAGUGCAGAGUGUGCUCACAGCUGGGGGGUCAGGGGGGACACAGAAGCAUGCUGGGGAAUGGUGGGAGAAGAGCAUGCAUGGAAUAUGCUGGUAUUAUGGGUUGAAUUGUGUCCUCAAAAGAUAUGAGGCCCUAACCACCAGUAACUGUGAAUGUGACCUUAUUUGGGAAUAGAGUCUUUGCAGAUGACCAAGACAAGAUGAGGUUAUUCCAACAUGACAGGUGUCCUUCCAAAAAAAGGAGAUUUGGACAGAGACAGAUCAGCCCACAGGAAGAACACCAGCUGAAGAUGAAGGCAGAGGGACUUCCCUAUUGGUUCAGUGGUGAGGACUCCACACUUCUGUUGCAGGAGGCAUGGGUUUGAUUCCCGGUCAGGGAACUAAGAUCCCACAUGCCUCAUAGUAUGGCCAAAAAAAAAAAAAGGAUGAAGGUAGAGAUUGGGAUGAUAUGUCCACAAGCCAAGGAAUACCAAAGAUUGCCUGCAAACCAUCAGAAGCAAGGAGAGAGGCCUGGAACAGAUUCUGUCAACCCAUAGAAGGAACUACUCUACCCGGGGGGCUAGUACAGCUGCAGAGGGGCCCCACUGGCCCACUGUGGGGGGUUGGACCUUGGUAGCCAAGGGAAAUUCCGUGAAGGCUUCUGGGAAAGAAUGGUCCCAGUCGGGUAUUUGUCCGUCUGUUCUGCCCUGAUGGCAGUAGGGGAUUCUCUGGGUGGAAAGGUCAGUGGUGGCCAGCAUGGAAAUAAGCUGAAGGAAGCUAUGGAUGGAUUGCACAGCCUGAGCUCAGCUCUCCCCUAGGGGCUGAGAGUAAAAGUUACAGUGUCUGUACUCUGCUGCUCACAGUGGAGCUGAGAGGCAGGACAAACACGCAGGGACGGCAGUGAGCAGCACAGCUCAAGGAUGGCCUCCUGGUGAUCCAGCACUGGGACAGGGUCAUGCAUGACGACGGCUAGAGCAGAGGGUGGGCGCAUAGUGGCAGCAGCCCUUCUCCCGCCUCUGCUGGGCCUCAGGUAGUGUAUUUGUUCAGGUUUUGGGGGAUUCCAAGCUACAAAAUACAAUUCUAACUUGAACAAACAGAGGAAUGUAUCGGGCAUAUAUAAUCAGUGUGUGAAUACAGGUUGAAUGAACGGAGCUGAGUUGGCACAUAAUUAUAUGCAAGUCAGUGACAAAUACUAAAAGGCAGAGCUGAACAAAAUGCUCGGAGGCAGGAUGUGAUCACAUCUGUUGGAGAAAUCCGGAACCAUCUCCCGGAGCAGGCUCCCAAAUGACAGGAACGGCUGCCCGCCGGAAGGAUAAGAACCGGGCAAUUCUCAUCCUGGAGAGCCCAGUGAGAACUCUAGAGGUCUUUAGACAGGGGUCAAUGCAGCAUCUCUGAGUGCCUCCGCCAGGAUGCCAAUUCUCAGGAGAGAACUGAUUGGCUUAGCUUGGGCCACAGUGCCAUCCCUGGGGGGGCGGGGCCUGUGAUUGGCAGCUCAGGUCAAAGGGCCUAGUUCCCGAAAGGAAAGCAGAGGGGCCCAUUCAUUAAAACCAGUGGAGCUGCAAGGGAUUCUAGACAGGCAAAAUAGCCAACACCCCGCACAGGUGAGAAGAGAGCUUGAAAUUUGGGAAGCUGAAUGACAAGGCAAGAGUUGGAAUGAGUCAUGGAUGAGACUCAGACAGGGAGGAGACACACCUGGUGGGAGCCCAGUGCCAGAGUAGGAGUAAUGGACACCUGCCCUUUCGUCUGCCCGGAAGCCGCACCCUACGCCUCUUCCCUCCUUCUGAGAACUUUCUCUCCCCUCCUCUGCCCCCACCUGCAUCGUUUUGGUUCCCGUGGUCGCCUCUCUGACAUCCCAGCCUAGUGGAACAAUCCCGGGCUUCCACCAGACCCAGCCUGAGCCAACCAUGGUCAUCGGCUCUUUACCCCAAAUCCUUCCUUCCUAGUAGGUCUCUCCAGGAGUUUGAAUUAAAUUUCUGCCCCUCGUGGUUGUCUAGAUUUAGGGUCUUAUCGAUGCACAGUUCCUACACUCAGGGAGCUCAAAACAAAGCAAGAGAAACAGAAACACUGCUAGAAAACAGUAUGAGUAUACUUCUCCUGUGUUGCCUUGCACAGUGAGCACACAGGGAAAUACAAGUCAUAUACACGCAUUCAUGUGCAGAGGUACUGGAAACAGAUGAAACUUCCUAGCCAAAGAAGGGCAUUCCAGGAGCAAGAAGAGCAGAGAGUGGAGGUAGGAAAGCACUUGCCAGUUUUGAAGAAUUUAGUCUGGCAUGACUGGGGUAUGGUGUAGGUGUCAGGCAGUGGCUGGAGAGGAGGUGAGUCUGGUUCCUGUGGUUCAGGUGUAGACGUCAUUCUCAGACACAGUGAGAAAUGGAGAGCCAGCUAGGCAGCUGUGCCUUGUGGCCGGCAUGCAGCAGUAAUGUGGACAUGUGUACAGUGUUGGGGAGCAACUGUGCUCUGAUGAUCCAGACCCUCCCCUGUCAGUUGGGCAGGCAGAGAAGCCCAGAGCUAACGUGAGCUUGGGGGCCAAGGGGUCUCAACAGUCAGACAGCAGACGCCAGGACUGGUAUCUGGAGAUGUGUUGAGGGUCAGGCCAGCAGCUCCCAAACUGAGUCAUCAGGCCAGAGGGCUGGUUGUCAAGGAUGGAGGCCCAGAGGGGAAGCUGGGAGGGGAGUAUAGACUGGAAAGAAGGAAAAGCUAAAAGCUAGGAGUAGCAAGGCUGCAAACAGGAAGUGAGCAGAACCGAUUUUGGAGCUAGGUGGGCUCCCAGCAGCAUUUCAUGCACUCUUAGAGGGAACUGCAGGAGCCCCAGGUCCACUUCAAGGGGCCAGAACUGGACAGGGGCAGAGCAAACAGCCAGGAGGCUCUUUUCCUACUUUAAGCAAGAUUUAAUAAGGACCUCUGGCAGUGGUGGUGGGGGUAGAAGGGAGGAGAUAGCCCAGAAGCAGGUUUUAAUUUAAAUUUUAAUAGAAAAUGCAUUCUCAUGGUUAAAAAUAAAAAGUAUUAAAAAGUGUUCAGAGGAAAGCCUUGUUCCCACCACUGACAGCUAACCUUUAUUAUUAGAUUUGGUGUAUUUUUCCAGUUUGGUUUUUUUUACAACAUAAACAAAAUGAAUAUUAUUACUUCUGUUGUUUUUUACUCAGUUCUAUAGAUACUGUUUUACACUUUGUUUUUUUUUUUCUUUUCCCCACUUAAUAUAUUUGAGAUCUUUACAGUACACAGAAAACAGCAUUGUCUGUUUUGAUGUUUGCCUAAUAUUUGCUUGUGUGAAUAUACCAGAAUUUAUUUAACUAAUCCCCUGCUGAGGGACACUUGAGUUUUCCCAAUCUCUUUUUAUCUGAGACACCAUCUCAGAGAACAGCCUUCGUUAUUCCCCAUCUGUGCAGAGAUUUCUGUAGGACAGACUCUGAAGGAGGGAUGGCUGCAGCAGAGGACAUAGGCCCUCUAUAAGAGUUGUACCAAUUUAUACAACCACCAGCAGUGUGUGAGACUGCCUGUUUCCCCAGAAUUGCCAGCAGAGUAUAUGAUCAAGCUUUUGGAUUUUUGCCAGUCUAAUGGGUGAAAAUGGUAUUUCAUAGUUUUCAAUUGCAUUCUCUUAUUAUGGAUGUAGUUGAGAAAUAUUGUCAUGUAUUUAUGAGCCAUUUGUAUUUCCUUUCUGUCAACUGUUUGUUCAUAUACUUUGCGUGGUUUUCACUUAGGU